rnacentral:tRNA from 1 species
AGCCCGGUGGUGUAGCGGCCAAGCAUGGCGGGCUCUGGCCCCGCCGACAGGAGUUCGAAUCUCCUCCGGGCUACCA